rnacentral:misc_RNA from 1 species
AACGCACAUUGCGCCCUUUGGUAUUCCAUAGGGCAUGCCUGUUCGAGCGUCGUCUCAAACCUUCAAGCCUAGCUUGGUGUUGGGUGACUGUCCCGCGUGCUCGCGUGGACUCGCCUCAAAUUCAUUGGCAGCGGACAUCGUAGCUAAUUGCGCAGCACAACGCGCCUGACGCUCCCUGUCCGGCUAUCCACGAGCAUAGUCUCACCAGUUUGACCUCGGAUCAGGUAGGGAUACCCGCUGAACUUAA